UGAUGGUGCUGGUGCCUGCUUUUUCUGCUUCGACCAUGGCUGGAACACGCUUCAAGGGGUGAUUUAUUAGGCUUGGAUCAUAACUAUGAUCAGAUGAUGUUAAAAUCAUCACAACAAUUUAUGUUGAUAAACUAUUUGAUUUGGAUGAGAUGAUGCUAUUUGGGAAUGGAUCCAAAUAAUAAGCUCCAUGAUUUUGGUAUACCUCUCUCCUUCUCCAAUAAGUAGCUUUUCCUGAUGUUGGUUUGGUUUUGCUGUUGGUCCUGGUGAUCUUCUCCUCCUUGGGGUUGAAUCGACCCCCUCUAGGAUAUUAUCUCACCAUGGCUCUUGUUGCAGCUUCGGCUGUGAUCUUUAAUGUAGACUAAUGAGUUUCCUAAGUGACUGCCUGGGAAUGAUUUAUGGUUUUAGCUGUUGAUCUGAGAUGUGUUCUUGAGGUUCUUGAGCUGGUCAAUGGAUGUGUAUGGGCGUGAGGCUUCAGCAGCUCUUUUGAUCUGGUGACUUGCUUUUAUAUGGUGGCCUAGUGUUGCCUUUGGUCGACAGCACAACCCUGUGUUGUGUAAGCUGCAUGUGUGGCUGCUGGUUGCUUUGCUUCUAAGCAAAGUUGGAUAGGCUCGGCUGAAAAUAUCUACCUCUAUUUUAACUCUUUUAUUUUUUUAUCCUCUGCCAUUUGGCAUUACCAUUUGUUUGACUUUGUUGUGCAGGUUUCAAUUUGAGAAGAAGAAGAUGAUCAAGACUUAGUUUAGGCUUUUACUUUUGUUUUUCAGAACUUGAAAUUAUAUUUGUAAUUUCAUUUUUAUUUAUUCAUUUGUAAAAACAUUGUAUUAUUGUGUUAAUAUCAAUAAAGAAAUGCUUUCCUUA